ensembl:lncRNA
UAGUUAGUCAUGCUAAGUGACCUGUGCUCUAAUCUCCCAGCAUUGCAAAGCAGCCAAAGUGACCGAUACUGUUACUUCACAUGCUCCUGCAAGGUAGAUUAGAAUCUGCUGCUCCUGAACUUAAUUUGCUGGCAGCAUCUUUAAAAUACUUUCUAGAGCGUUUGGAUCGUAAUCAUUUUUAAGGCUUGAAACUUACUAAAUGAAGCAAAACAAUCUGUUCUCCUUUUGUAUUAAAAAAAAAUAGAUUUAAAUUGUUCUACAUUGUAAAAUCUAAUGUCAGGGUAAGUGUGUGCAAGUAACCUUUUCACCCUCCAGUUGAUACAAAGGACUGUUCUCACUUCACAGAAAUGCCUCUGCGUAGACUGUGGUUCCAUCUGAACCAAUUUGUUUUUGGCUUCUGACUAAAAAGCAUACAAAGAGAUAGUCCAGGCUUCGAUGUCCUAAAACAGGAAACUCAAAAGCGAUGUGGGCCAAUUCAGAGGCAGUCAUUCUGUACUAUGCAGUCAUGGGCCAUUGAAGGAAAAGAAGAAAGUGGCUUUGGGCAAAGUCUGCCUACUUGUAGCAGAAGUCCAAGAGGUAGUCAUCUCUGCAGGUAAAAUGCAAAGUUUGCUAUAUACCUCAGGAUGGAUUAUACUAGUCAAUGGAGAUACAGUAUGUUUCAAGAAUUUACUUAAAAACAAGGAAAAUAAAUUAGUUGAUCUCUCAGACUGCUUCCAGGCAGUAGUUUUUAAACAACUUGUCGUAUGUUUCUUGGCUUUUACAGCUUCACAUAAAAGGUUUUCCUGGUUCAUAAAGGAAAUUAAUGUGAAAUCAAUAAUGGCAUUUAAAAAUUCACCAAACAUUUCCCAUCCGGAGAAAGCCUCUCUCAGAGUGCUACUAAUGAUACAGCAGAGUGGGGAGAACACACACAGCAUUGAUGCUAAAGGCAGACAGAAGGGAAAGCAUCACAGAUAGAAAAUGCAGUGAGGACUGAUGCUUUUGGGAGCCACCAGGAGCAAGGGGGAUCUGCCUGUACCCUGACCUGAACAAACUGUGGGAUCAACUUGCAUGAGGCCUUUGCUUGAAAAUGUAGCCUAGAUGCUGCACUUCCUUCAAGCUAAUGGGUGAAAGUGGCAUGAACAGCAGAGAAAAACUCACUUGAUGGUGAAAAUACCAACAGAAACAUAGUAAGACUUGUUUCUUGUAGUAUAUUACAACUGUAUGACCCCCUGCAUUCCAGG